rnacentral:rRNA from 1 species
GUAUUCCGCUCCAUAGCGUAUAUUAAAGUUGUUGCAGUUAAAAAGUUCGUAGUUGAAUUUCGGGGUCAGUAGGUUGGUCAUGCCACUGGUAUGUACUGGUCUCACUGAUUCCUCCUUCCUGAUGAGCCGUAAUGCCAUUAAUUUGGUGUUGCGAGGAAUCUGGACUGUUACUUUGAAAAAAUUAGAAUGUUUAAAGCAGGCUAACGCUUGAAUACAUUAGCAUGGAAUAAUGAAAUAGGACGUUCGAUCUUAUUUUGUUGGUUUCUAAGAUUGACGUAAUGAUUAAUAGGGAUAGUUGGGGGCAUUAGUAUUCAAUUGUCAGAGGUGAAAUUCUUGGAUUUAUUGAGGACUAACUACUGCGAAAGCAUUUGCCAAGGAUGUUUUCAUUAAUCAAGAACGAAAGUUAGGGGAUCGAAGACGAUCAGAUACCGUCGUAGUCUUAACCAUAAACUAUGCCGACUAGGGAUCGGAUGAUGUUAAUUUUUUAAUGACUCAUUCNGCNCCUUACGGGAAACA